GCGAGUGAAGAGGGAAAAGCUCAAAUUUUAAAUCUACCUGGUUCCCGGGUCGAAUUGUAAUUUGAAGAAGCGAUAUCGGUUUUGAGGUCUGGUUUAAGUUCUUUGGAACAAGACAUCAUGGAGGGUGAGAAUCCCGUGCAUGAUCAGACCAAGAUACCCAAUAUUCGUUUUCUAAGAGUCGAGUUGUUUGGGAAUGCAGCUCAAAAUGGGUGGUAGACUUCACCUAAGGCUAAAUAUCAGCGAGAGACCGAUAGCGAACAAGUACUGUGAAGGAAAGAUGAAAAGAACUUUGAAAAGAGAGUUAAAUAGUACGUGAAAUUGUUGAAAGGGAAACGAUUGAAGUCAGUCAUGCUAGUGAAAAAUCAGUUUAACGGGUUUUGAGUUCUUGAGUAGAGGCAGGGUCAAACCGUUUCUCUUUUGGACUUGAGAUUUGUUGGACGUACUUUUUCUUUGGCAGGUCAACGUCGGUUUCGGGGGUUGUAAAAUACUUGGGGGAAAGUAGCUCUGCUUCGGGAGAGUGUUAUAGACCCUAGGAGAUGCAGCCUGCGGGAUCGAGGAUUGCAGCAAAUGCCUUCUGGCUUGUCGCCUAUUCCUAGGUGUUACCUCUCUUGUGACAACAUUCUUGCCACCGGAGGGUACUAAUGCCUACUGUUUAGAGUGAUCGAAAAUUUUGCUAAGGAUGU
rnacentral:rRNA from 1 species